rnacentral:rRNA from 1 species
GAUGAACGCUGGCGGCGUGCCUAAUACAUGCCAGUCGAACGGACGGACGAGACGCUUGCUUCUCUGAUGUUAGCGGCGGGCGGGUGUGUCACACGUGUAUCGCCUACCUAUCAUUCUGGGAUCACUUCGGGAAACCGGCGCUUAUCCCGUAUGAUCUUUUGCACCUCAUGGUUCAAAAGUGAAAGACGGUCUUGCUGUCACUUAUCGAUGGUUCCGCGCUGCAUUAGCUAGUUGUUACGGUAACGGCUUACCAAGGCAACGAUGCCUAGCCGAACUGAGAGGGUGAUCGGCCACACUGGAACUGAGACACGGUCCAGACGACUAAGGGAGGCAGCAGUAGGGAAUAUGAGGCAAUGGGCGAAAGCCUGACGGAGCAACGCCGAGUGAGUGAUGAAGGCCUUCGGAUCGUAAAACUCUGUUAUUAGGGAAGAACAGAUGUGGAAGGAAAUGUGGAGAGAGUGACGGUACCGAAUCAAAAAGCAACGGCUAACUACGUG